GGCGGAUGUAGCCAAGUGGCUCAAGGCAGUGGAUUGUGA
rnacentral:tRNA from 1 species